UUCUAUAGCCACACCACCCUGAACAUGCCCAAUCUCCUCUGAUCUCAGAAGCUAAGCAGGGUUGGGUCUGGUUAGUACUUAAUACUUGGAUGGUAGAAGAAC
ensembl:rRNA 5S_rRNA 5S ribosomal RNA